rnacentral:misc_RNA from 1 species
AACUGAUACUACCUGCGGGAACCUGCGGAGGGAUCAUUGCUGGAACGCGCCCCAGGCGCACCCAGAAACCCUUUGUGAACUUAUACCUUACUGUUGCCUCGGCGCAUGCCGGCCCCCAGGGGCCCCUCGGAGACGAGGAGCAGGCACGCCGGCGGCCAACCUAACUCUUGUUUUUACACUGAAACUCUGAGAAAAAAAACAAAAUGAAUCAAAACUUUUAACAACGGAUCUCUAGAUCGG